rnacentral:lncRNA from 1 species
CUCAGUGUCUGUCGACGUAAAGUGGAUUUUAAUCAUUUUUGAGCUUCUCUGAUGAAAAUGAGCAUCGUGAGGUUUUUGUAUGGGGAUGUAACACUGUGAUGCUUUAAUAUUUGGGAAAGCCACCAGACUCACCGUCAUACCUAAAGAUACGACUCCUGUUGCUCCGACCCUGUUCGUCCUGAGUCCUCUUCACCCAGAGGGGGUGCCGUUGAGCGAGCUGGCUGACGAGGUCUGCCUGGCCACUAAUUUCCGUCCACAGGGAGAGGACAUGGUUCUGAAUGUGCGUAAGAAGCGUCAGAUUAAUUAUAACACCAGCAACGCCGUCAUCUCCGAGGAAGAGAAGGGCUACUACUACGCUGGAUUCGCCAACGAGACGAUCUACUCCUGUGAGCUCAACGGCACGUCAUCCAACAACGAGAACAGUACGUUAGACUGCCGCCAUAAUACACAAAACAAUACGUCCAAACUGUCCUGAAGGUCGGCAGUGAUGUCUGUCUGGCUCUUAAUGGAGAUGAACUGAUGUCAGUCUUCAGAGUGUAGGAUGAAGCUCAGGUUCACAUCACACUGAUGUCAAAGAGUUAUUAGACCAGACUGAGCUUUACACAUCAGCCACUGACUACUGAAACAGGAAAAUAUGAAUAUAUGAAUAAUGAGUGAAACUCCAGAUGAAAUACAUAAGAAAAGCCCACCUCACCUGAAGUAGUCCUGAAUCCUGUCUUUAUAAUCUGUAAUACUAAUAAUCAUGUUUGUAGUGAGUCUGUAGCUCACACACAGAUCAGGGAGUCGAAGUACAAAGUCAUCAGGUGUGAAAUGUUCACGUGAAUUAUAACAAAUAUUAUGUGUUUAUAAUUUGAAUCUUUCACUUGUAAAACAUUUGAAAUGGUGUAAAAACAUUCAUUCACACGUUCUUGUUUGUCGGUGUGAUUCAUCAGAGAUCACUGACUGAUACGAAUCAAUAUUUUAUCAAUAUUUUAUCAAUUUUUCACAUCAUAAUCAGCCGCACAUGGAUUCUUCAGACACUCUUAAUCUUCAUCAUCGUCUGUCUGGUUCAUUGUGAGUCUCUGACGAGUGUUUCUCUGUGUUUUCAGUCGACCUCUGCGCUGACCUCCAUCCAGGUGAGUCCAAACACACCUGCACACCGGCUCCUUCAGAACAGUGUCCUGUCAGUGAUGUGGUGGGUCAGAAUCAGAAUCUGUUCGGUCCAAACACAAACUGAUCGUGUUUCUCUCCCGUUCAGAGAAAGCCAAGCUGAACCUGUACCUGCUGCUGAUGAACGGGGUGCGGGUGGUGUUCACCAAAGUUCUGGCCUUCAGCACCAUCUUCACCAUCCGAGCCGUGCUCCCGUAGACGUGUUUGUCCUUCACAGGCUCCUGUAGAAACCUGCCUGCACACCUGAAAACAACAUAGAGCAUCAUGGAGGCGCAGAGCUGUUUCAGUGUGUUGUCAUAUAAUCUGCUUUCUACUGUAUAAUAUCUGCUGCCAAAUAUACUGAAUAUCUUCUGUCAGUUUUUUUUUUUAUUUGAAAAUGUAUCUGAGUGUUUCUGUGACUCGUGUUUCUCGACUGAUCGAUCUGACGUCAGUGUGACGGCGUUAACUUUGUGCCUGUUCUGCUUCUAAUAAAGUUCAGCAGCUCUGAUUCAGUUUCAGUCUUCAGUCUGUGAUUUCUGUGAGUUUGUGAGUUUGUGAGCAGGACGGUGAAGCAGCUGACGUCUGGUUCUUAACUGCCAUCAUGAUUAAAUCACUGAAACUGAAACUGUGACAAACAGCAAGAAAAGUCACAAGAUUGAAAUUAAGUGCAUCAAAAUCAAUAAAUCAACAAAAUGGAAUGAUGUAUAAGUAUUUCUCCAGGUCAGGUUUUGUUUCGCUGCCACACUUUAUUUUCAUUUUAUUUCAUUUGAUCUAUUUUUUUAAUUCGAUACAAGCAAACACAAAUUGUUACGUGACUGUUUAAUGACAGAAUUAAAUCUUCACAACAAAAACAGAAGAAACAACAAAGUGUGUCAAAGAAGGAAACAACUUAAAAUACAUCAAAUCAAAUGUGCAAAUGUUUCAUCCAGAAUUUCAACAUAAUGUUUGUUUGUGAAUUUAAAAUGUCGACUGAGCGGAUAGAGACACGUGUGUGUGUGUGUGUGUGUGUGUGUGUGUGUGUGAGUGUUUGUGUGUGUGUGUGUGCGUGUGCAGCAGUUCACAGUUGAAACCACAGUUCAACAGUCGGAGCUGAAGCUGCAGAUACGAUCAGACAGGAAGCAGCUCUGUGUCUCACUGCUGGCUUAAAGUUUUAC